AGCAUAUCAAUAAGCGGAGGAAAAGAAACCAACAGGGAUUGCCCUAGUAACGGCGAGUGAAGCGGCAACAGCUCAAAUUUGAAAUCUGGCUUUCGGGCCCGAGUUGUAAUUUGUAGAGGAUACUUUUGAUGCGGUGCCUUCCGAGUUCCCUGGAACGGGACGCCAUAGAGGGUGAGAGCCCCGUCUGGUUGGAUGCCAAAUCUCUGUAAAGUUCCUUCGACGAGUCGAGUAGUUUGGGAAUGCUGCUCUAAAUGGGAGGUAUAUGUCUUCUAAAGCUAAAUAUUGGCCAGAGACCGAUAGCGCACAAGUAGAGUGAUCGAAAGAUGAAAAGCACUUUGAAAAGAGAGUUAAAAAGUACGUGAAAUUGUUGAAAGGGAAGCGUUUAUGACCAGACUUGGGCUUGGAUAAUCAUCUGGGGUUCUCCCCAGUGCACUUUUCCAGCUCAGGCCAGCAUCAGUUUUCGCCGGGGGAUAAAGGCAGCAGGAAUGUGGCUCUCUUCGGGGAGUGUUAUAGCCUGUUGUGUAAUACCCUGGCGGAGACUGAGGUUCGCGCAUCUGCAAGGAUGCUGGCGUAAUGGUCAUCAACGACCCGUCUUGAAACACGGACCAAGGAGUCGUCUUCGUAUGCGAGUGUUCGGGUGUCAAACCCCUACGCGUAAUGAAAGUGAACGCAGGUGAGAGCUUCGGCGCAUCAUCGACCGAUCCUGAUGUUCUCGGAUGGAUUUGAGUAAGAGCAUACGGGGCCGGACCCGAAAGAAGGUGAACUAUGCCUGUAUAGGGUGAAGCCAGAGGAAACUCUGGUGGAGGCUCGCAGCGGUUCUGACGUGCAAAUCGAUCGUCAAAUAUGGGCAUGGGGGCGAAAGACUAAUCGAACCUUCUAGUAGCUGGUUUCCGCGA
rnacentral:rRNA from 1 species